AUACGAAGGGCCCGAGCGUUAAUCAGAAUUACUGGGCUUAAAGGGUACGCAGGCGGAUUCGCAGGCAUCUUGUGAAAUCCCUCGGCUCAACCGAGGAACUGCAGGGUGAACCGCGAGUCUUGAGGCAAGUAGGGGCUGUCGGAACGGUAGGUGGAGCGGUGAAAUGCGUUGAUAUCUAUCGGAACGCCGAAGGCGAAGGCAGACAGCUGGGCUUGUUCUGACGCUGAGGUACGAAAGCGUGGGGAGCGAACGGGAUUAGAAACCCCAGUAGUCC
rnacentral:rRNA from 1 species